rnacentral:misc_RNA from 1 species
CUUUAUUCAAUCGUAUGUUGCUAAUUGCAUUCGCGGAAAGCAGAGGACAAUGCAUAAAAGUUUGUUCACUCUUUAAGCGAGGACGACGUCGAUGUUCGAUGGCUGAGCUGAUGGCACGCCAAUAAUUACCUUAAAAAAUCCGAACCGAGAAGAAGAAUAGCUUUUCAAAGUCACAUCAGCAACCCGAGGCUGAAAUCCAGUUCUUUCAUUGCUUUAUCUGACCCUCUCUACCUUCUGAAGAAACAAAUCCACUUCCAGUAGCACUCACCACGGAAUUUGGGAGGUGGUGCAAAUACCCUGCCUGCGUCAAGCUCCACAAGAGUACUGCAGUUACCAAAGACUCAGGAAAAGGGAAGGAAACACUGAGUCCAGACCAGGAGACAGUCAUCAGAGGUAAGAAGAGCAUAGAGCAGUGAUUAAGUUGCUUUGAGGACACUUUCAGAUAAGCUCCAGGAAAGCUGCAGUGGCUGUGGAGUGUUGGUGUGUGCUUGUGGAUCUGUGGUGGGUGGCGUGAAUUAUAGGAGGUUUGAAGAUGAGUUCACGUAGCAGAAGCAAUAGCAGGAGCCGAAGUAUGAGUCAGAGCCAGAGCAGGAGCCAGAGCAGGAGCCGGAGCAGGAGCCCCCGAGAUCGCAGAAUUCGAUCUCGACGCUAUUCUUAUCGUGAUGCUCCUCACAGGAGAGAGACACGUCGUGGUUUCAGCCAAAACAAUUUGUGCAAUAACUGCAAGCGUCCUGGUCAUUUUGCAAGAGAAUGCCCCAAUGUAGCUGUGUGUAACAAUUGUGGCCUUCCUGGGCAUAUUGCUUCAGAAUGCACCACAAAAUCACUCUGUUGGAACUGUCGGGAACCUGGGCACAUGGCCAGCCAU